rnacentral:lncRNA from 1 species
CCAAAACAAGAAGUGAAGAGGAAAGGAAAGAACACAAACCCUAGGUGGGAAAAUUGAAGAAAAAGUGUGGGAUUUCAAGGGAUUAAGCUAAUAAAGGUAAAAUUUUAUGAUUUUAUCUUGUGAUUUACACUACCCAUGCUUUCUUUUUCAUUUUCCAUGCUUAGAACUCAAGUUUGUAUGAUGAACCCAUGCUGGCCAAAUUUGAGAGGAGAGGUUUUGAGCAUUGAUUUUGCUAGAUUUUAAGCUAAUUAAGUGUUUUUGGUUGUUUGGUAAUGGAAAGUAUGAAAAUCUAGCAAGGAAUCACUUUGUUCUUCACAAACCCACAAGAGGCCGAAUUUUCUAAGGAGGAUAUUGAGGCCGAAAUUGAUGAUAUUUCAUGAUAUUUUGGUGGUAUUUAAUGAUUGGUGAGGCUAGAAUUUAAUGGGAAAAUUUGGUAUGAAAAUAUGAAUUUUUACCUAAUGUAUAAACAUGUGCGAUUUAUGAUUCGGACUGAUAAAUUAAAUCGUAUUCACAGUCAUUGAGGUAUUUUAAGUAUAAUUGGAGUGUAGAAAGUGAAAGAAAUCGAUUUGGAGCUAAAUUGGACAUGUUGGCCAAUUAAUCGGGUGAUAAGACGAAUUAGGUCAAUACCGGGUUUAGAUGGUUUCCUGUGCAUUUUGCAUUUCAUAUCAUGCAUUAGUAGUCUAAAUUAGUUUAAUUUCGAUUUAAUACCAAUGUAGUAAGUUUCUCAAUUUUGUACUAUGUCAAGGUGGUGAGUCCUCCGAUAAAGGCAAAGAAAUUGCAUCCGAAGACCAGUAGUCAGAGUACUUCGAAAAUUCGCACUUUAGACAUUGUGAGUAAACUUACUGUCAUUUUAAUUAUCUAGGGUGGCUUUUAGAUGAUUUCAUGAAUUUUAUGAAAAAAUGGAUUUAGAAAGGUAAAUUUUCAUGUUUUAUGAAUAAAUGUGUUUCAAUGAAAUUAAUUUAUAAAUUAUUUUGAAAUUAAUAAUGAUUUUGAAAAAUAGAGUACACGGAGACUGCCAUUUAUUGUAAUUUGAUUGUUUAAAUUAAUUGGCUUAUGAUAAAUCGGGCAUGAUUGGCUGGUUGGCAAUUGUAUUGAAAUACAGAUUGUUUGUUUGCCUUGAAAGGCUGUGAAUUACAAAAAUUACCAUAUCAUGUUAUUGAAUUUUAUUGAUCGGUGGGAUAAUUAUUAGCUUACUGCAGUAGGCGGGUUUCGUGGACUAGCCUAUGAGAGGGGCACGGGAACCCCAUUUAUAUGUGCUCACCUCAGUUGUAGAGGCGCGUAGGGUAGUUCCUGAGGUGAUAUUUGAGUUCACUUCAUGCCGAACCACCACGUGAUGGUGAACUCAGCCAACGCCAAGGAGCGACUGUGUUUUUCUCAAACUAAAAAAUAUGUUUACGUGUGUAUGAAAUUUUUAACAGCCUUGGCUGUCUUGGUAGGAUGCCUCGGCCAAGGUGUCCCCGAGGAUGGAUUUAUGGUACAAGCCUAGUUUUUAUGAGCUUCAUAAGCCUCGUUACGUAUUUUGAAUGAAAUGUGUUCUAAUGCUGUGACCCAGUUUACGAUGAUUUAUUUUAUCGUCUCGAUGUACUUAACUCUAGAUGUUUAUGAUGAUGACUGUUUACUCAUUGGGAUUUUAUAAUCUCACCACUCUCCUUUCCACCAAUUUCAGGCUCAGUAUAAGCUGUAGAUAGCUGAUAUCGUAGAAGCCUACAGUUGGCUUUACUUCCUCAAAAACUGUAGGUUUGCAGCCUUUGUUCAUUUUUGUCAUUUGGGGAUCCAUAUGUCACUGUAAAUUAAAUUUCAUACUCUAGUUGUCUGU